AGUGAACGCUGGCGGUAGGCCUAACACAUGCAAGUCGAACGGCAGCACAGUAAGAGCUUGCUCUUACGGGUGGCGAGUGGCGGACGGGUGAGGAAUACAUCGGAAUCUACUUUUUCGUGGGGGAUAACGUAGGGAAACUUACGCUAAUACCGCAAACGACCUACGGGUGAAAGCAGGGGAUCUUCGGACCUUGCGCGAUUGAAUGAGCCGAUGUCGGAUUAGCUAGUUGGCGGGGUAAAGGCCCACCAAGGCGACGAUCCGUAGCUGGUCUGAGAGGAUGAUCAGCCACACUGGAACUGAGACACGGUCCAGACUCCUACGGGAGGCAGCAGUGGGGAAUAUUGGACAAUGGGCGCAAGCCUGAUCCAGCCAUACCGCGUGGGUGAAGAAGGCCUUCGGGUUGUAAAGCCCUUUUGUUGGGAAAGAAAAGCAGCAGGUUAAUACCCCGCUGUUCUGACGGUACCCAAAGAAUAAGCACCGGCUAACGUCG
rnacentral:rRNA from 1 species